AUGGGCGUGCACGGGCUGUGGGGGCUGCUGGCCCCGGUGGGGCGGCGCGUGUCGGUGGAGACCCUGGCGGGGAAGCGGCUGGCGGUGGACGCCAGCAUCUGGAUGGUGCAGUUCAUGCGGGCGAUGCGGGACGACAAGGGCGACAUGGUCCGCGACGCCCACAUCCUCGGCUUCCUCCGCCGCAUCUGCAAGCUCCUCUUCCUCCGGGCCCGCCCGGUCUUCGUCUUCGACGGCGCCACGCCGGCCCUCAAGCGCCGCACCCUCGCCGCCCGCCGCCGGAACCGCGACGCCGCGCAGGCCAAGGUCCGCAAGACCGCCGAGAAGCUCCUAAUCUCCCAUCUCAAGGCAAGUAGGCUUGAAGAAUUGGCAGCUCAAAUCAAAAGUGACAGGGCUAAGCAUGAUGCUAAGGGCAAGCAGGUUGGGAGCAGUAGAGGAGAAGAAACUGAGAAAACAGAUGGAGAUCAAAACCGAAAUGACGAUGGCGAGAACAGCAGGGGGGCAGCUGCACCAAUCAACCAGGAAAAAUUGGAUGAACUGCUGGCAGCGUCACUUGCUGCAGAGGACGAGGCAGGUUUGACUGGCAAAGGGGAACGAAAUCCUGCAAGUGUCCCAUCACAAGAAGGAACUGGCAUUGACGAAGAUGAGAACGACGAUGAUGAAGAGAUGAUAUUUCCUAUUACAACUGGUGACAUUGAUCCUGCUGUGUUAGCUUCUCUCCCUCCAUCAAUGCAGCUAGAUCUACUUGUUCAGAUGAGGGAGAGGGUGAUGGCUGAAAACAGGCAGAAGUACCAAAAAAUAAAAAAGGAGCCUGCAAAAUUUUCAGAGCUUCAAAUACAGUCCUAUCUGAAAACGGUUGCUUUUCGUCGAGAGAUAGAAGAAGUUCGGAAGGGUGCUGCAGGUAAGGAUGUUGGGGGCAUCCAGACAUCGAAAAUAGCAUCGGAAGCUAACAGAGAGUUCAUUUUCUCAUCAUCAUUCACUGGUGAUAAACAGACAUUGGCACAAAGAGGUGUAGAGGAGCAGAUUGUUGAUAGCGGUAAAUCAAAAAGGGAAAUUAGUUCUGCUAUCUUCAAAUCCAGUCCGUCAAGUAGUUCUAGAUCAAUUAAACCUCACAGCGGUGAGCCUUCAACGGGUUUUGGGCCUGAUGUUGAGACAUAUCGUGAUGAGAGAGGAAGGAUGAGAGUAAGUAGGGUGAGAGGAAUGGGAAUUCGUAUGACUCGUGAUAUUCAAAGGAAUUUGGAUUUUAUCAAAGAGCAUGAGCAGGCAAAAAGCAUGGGACAGGCCAACAUAGGCAAAGGAUCAACUAACAAUGAAGAACCACCAGAUUUUCCAGAACAUCUUUUUGAAAAUGAUGGGCUGCAAAGCUCUGUUGGUCUAGGUGAAGAUUUUGGUGAAAUUAUUGGUGACAACCAUCACACAUCGUCACUUGUAGGAGGAUCUGAUGAUAUUUCUGAGAGUUCCUGCCAUGAGAGCAAAGAUACAAUAGAGAUAUCUUUUGUGGAUGAUCAAAUUGGAGUGAAGGACAACGACGACAAGCUAUUUUUGCAUUUAGUUUCUGGAACUUCAUCCAAGUUAUUUGCUGAUGGUGAUCGUUUGGCUAAAACUACAGAAGAAUCUGACAACUCCGAGGGUAUUUGGGAAGAAGGUGUCAUAGAAGAACAAACACUUCCUAUGAAGGUUGGUGAGAAGGAUUAUCAAUCAUCACCUCCUGAUAACUGUUGUACUGACGAUGAGGUGGAAUGGGAGGAAGGUGUCUGUGAUGUUCCUGAAGUUCCUUUUAGUAGUGAAUACAAUCAGUGUAAAUUACCAAAAGGGGAUAUAGAAGAAGAGGCUCUCAUACAGGAAGCAAUAAGGAGAAGUUUAGAGGACUCCGAGAAGCAGGAAUUUGAAAAUGGAAUCCCUGAAGAUUUGGAAACAUCUAUUGAAGAUAAAUCUUUGCAAUCUCAUGAUGUUCCCAAACCAUCUGAAGCUCCUGCUACAACUUAUUCCCACUCCGAAGCUUCUUUUGGUAAAGAAACAAUCAAAGAAAUGGGAAUAAAAAACAGUUCUGGUGAGGUUGGUGUUAUGCAUGAUCCUGAAGUGCUUGAAGCUGAAAGAAAAGAAAAUGAAAAACAAGCUCAACUGGAGAGUAAUGAUGGACGAGCUGGUACAAACACAGAUUAUUCGCGGGGGUCUUCUCCAGUGUAUAAUGUAUCCACAAGUACUCUUACUGCAAGGCCAUCUUGCAGCCCAAAGGUUCAGGACAAUGAUGCAAUCGUGUCCGCAACCAGCGUUCAUGAGUGGCCUAAAGAGGAAGAGCAAAACACUUUGAAUUCUCAUAAAUCAGAAUGCAACACAAAUGAUCCUUAUAUUGGAGAAACCUCCAUGGCGGCCCACAAGGAACCUUUGAUGGAUGAAUUGGUAGCCAAUGAUGCCAUACAAAAGGAAAAUGUUAUUCAGGAAGAUAUGAACAUUACCACUUCUGAGAUCAACAGUACACGAUUAAAUGAGAAUUAUGAUAGCCAUAUUAUAUCAGAAAAUAAUCUGGAGAAGGAAAUAUCUUUUCUUAGACAAGAACAGGUAGAUCUUGGAAAUGAAAGGCGAAAACUUGAAAGCCAUGCAGAGUCUCUCAGCAGUGAGAUGUUUGCUGAGUGCCAGGAAUUGCUCCAAAUGUUCGGCUUGCCGUAUAUAAUUGCACCAAUGGAAGCUGAAGCUCAGUGUGCUUACAUGGAAAUCAACAACCUUGUUGAUGGAGUUGUUACUGAUGAUUCAGAUGUCUUCCUGUUUGGGGCAAGGAAUGUUUAUAAAAAUAUAUUUGAUGAUAGGAAGUAUGUGGAAACAUACCUUAUGAAGGACAUCGAGUCGGAGCUGGGACUAACAAGGGAACAGUUAAUUCGUAUGGCUCUGCUUCUGGGGAGUGACUACACUGAAGGAAUUAGUGGUAUUGGCAUUGUGAACGCUAUUGAAGUUGUACAUGCAUUUCCUGAGGAAGAUGGCCUCCAACAGUUCAGAGAAUGGAUUGAAUCACCGGAUCCAGCGAUAUUGGGGAAAUUUGAUGUCGAAACCAGUGGCAGCUCAAAGAGAAGGAAAUCUGGUGGAAAUGAAUCGUGUGAAAAAGGAAAUAGCCUGGAACCUGAAUGUGUUGAAGGUUCUGAUAAUAACCAAUCUUCUAAUGAGACCCAACAUAUCAAGGAAGUAUUUAUGAGUAACCAUAGGAACGUGAGCAAGAACUGGCAUAUACCUUCCACUUUUCCUAGUGAGACAGUCAUCAAUGCAUACAUUUCUCCCCAAGUGGAUGAUUCAACAGAACGUUUUUCCUGGGGAAGACCAGACUUAAGCUUGCUACGCAAGUUAUGUUGGGAAAGGUUUGGCUGGAACAAGGAGAAAGCUGACGAACUGCUGCUUCCUGUUUUGAAAGAGUAUAAUAAGCAUGAGACUCAGCUGCGCAUGGAGGCAUUUUAUUCAUUCAAUGAGAGAUUUGCAAAAAUACGUAGCAAAAGGAUUCAGAAAGCUAUCAAGGGUAUCACAGGGAAAACUUUCUCAGAAACGGAUGAACUCAAUGAGGAUAGUCCCAGUACUAGUGAUGCACCCAAGAAGAAAGAGGCAGGCCGCUCUAGCCGUGCUAAACCGAGAGGAAAAAGGAACACCGGUGCUGAACCUAGAAACAUGGGAAGUCAAGAAGAUGACAAAAUUGGUGAUCCUAAUAGCUUUGCCGAUGCGGAUGCACUUGCGGAAGAACAGAGAAAUGUCAGUAAGAAGAAGAACGCAAGCCCCUCAGGUCGUUCUAGAGGGAGAGGUCGAAAAAAGAUGAAUGUUCGACAAGAGACUACUAGAGAUGAGGAAGAUUUCGAAGUUCAAAUGUCUAAUUUGUCCGCAGAUGAGGACUCGCAUAAAAGGCACACCAACAAAUACAAAUCAGAAGGAAUAACAGUACGUAAGUCCAACCGGAAGAGGAAACAAGUAACGUACAUGGAAGAUGACCACGAAGCUGAUGACAAUACUGUCCCCUUGCAUCAAGUCGAUGAAGAUGACCCUAGCCAAAUUGGCACCGACAUUGACACAGCUGGACGAGACACGCAAUCCAAUCUGCUCCAUCAGGAUACAAGUGAACUGAACAGCGACCAGAUGCACAUGGACCCAGGCACUGCCGAAGAUCUGAAUGAAGAUCCCUUGGGCUUUGAGUUAUAUGAUGACCAGACUGAUUCUGCACCAAAAGAAUACCUUUUCACUGGAGGCGGAUUCUGUGCGGAGGAGGAUGAACAAGAUACAGCGGUUGAUCGAUCUGGCGGGGAAACAGUGGGUGGAACAAGUGACGCAUGUGAGGAUAUCGCGGGGGUUUCUGACGGCGGUAAAAGUAUAGGCUUGUCGACGCCGACUGAAGAGUGUGCAGAGGAUACUAGUACGGACGCCCGGGGUGCAUCUUCAUCGAAGCGACACAAUGCUGGCAGUGGUCUGCCCAAGAUUGCCAAACGUAGGAGAAAAUAA
rnacentral:rRNA from 1 species